UUCCUCCAGAAUGCUGUGUGGACUCUCCAGACCCUCCUCCGCAACGCUGUGGAGAAAAGUCUGGCAAUGCGGGACUGCCAUACAAGUGAGCUUUAGGGCUCCGACACGCCAACCCGACGGCCGACCGUCGGCAGAAGAGGCCGUCGGAC